rnacentral:rRNA from 1 species
AACGAACGCUGGCGGCAUGCCUAACACAUGCAAGUCGAGCGCCCGUAGCAAUACGGGAGCGGCGCACGGGUGAGUAACGCGUGGGAACCUGCCCAGAGGUUCGGGACAACCGCGGGAAACUGCGGCUGAUACCGGAUGAUACCUGAGGGUCAAAGAUUUAUCGCCUUUGGAGGGGCCCGCGUCGGAUUAGGUAGUUGGUGGGGUAACGGCCUACCAAGCCUAUGAUCCGUAACUGGUCUGAGAGGAUGACCAGUCACACUGGGACUGGGACACGGCCAAGACUCCUACGGGAGGCAGCAGUGGGGAGUAUUGGACAAUGGGGGCAACCCUGAUCCAGCAAUGCCGCGUGGGUGAUGAAGGCCUUCGGGUUGUAAAGCCCUUUCGGCGGGGACGAUGAUGACGGUACCCGCAGAAGAAGCCCCGGCUAACUUCGUGCCAGCAGCCGCGGUAA